CUAACCGGAAUAACUUCUAAUCCCCGCCUCUCUCCCCUAGUUCCUUGUACAUGUGACCGAACGCCGCGUUUUUAGCUUCCGUGACUGCCAUCUUUGCUUCUUUCCUCGCCACCUUGUCUCCCCUAGUUCCUCAUACAUGCGACCGAACGCCGCGUCUUUAGCUUCUGUGACUGCCAUCUUAGCUUCUCUUCUUAUCUCCUUGUAGAUCAACCUGUU
rnacentral:lncRNA from 1 species